CUUUUAUGGAGAGUUUGAUCUUGGCUCAGGACGAACGCUGGCGGCGUGCCUAAUACAUGCAAGUCGAGCGCGGGAAGCAGGCGGAUCCCUUCGGGGUGAAGCCUGUGGAACGAGCGGCGGACGGGUGAGUAACACGUGGGCAACCUGCCUGUAAGAUCGGGAUAACUCCGGGAAACCGGGGCUAAUACCGGGUAAUACCUUCCUCCGCAUGGAGGAAGGUUGAAAGGCGGCCUUUUGGCUGUCACUUACAGAUGGGCCCGC
rnacentral:rRNA from 1 species